CCGCCCUAAUAGAAAUGCUGUAGGGGGACCCAGCACACCAGGAUGUGGGCAGGCUGCUGUCCUGUUUGAGGAAAUGCCCUCAGCCAUCCCAGAUGAUUCAGCCCUGCUAACAUGCUGGAAUUGGCGUGAUGAAACUGAGACCCAGAAGGGAAGGGACUCCCCCAAGACCAUCCAGCUGGAACUUGAACCCUGAAGAAAGGAGUCUUCAGAUAGAUGGAAUGGGAGAAUGACAGCCAGAGAAAGAGGAAGCAAACAUUGAGAGAGUGGGGAGCCUGCGAUGAGUGCUCCCCAGGGAAGGGGCAUCGGUAAGUCAUCUCUGAGCCCUCACAGAGUCCAACUAGCCACUUGUCAAAUGUGUGAAACUCCUAUACAUGCUUCAGAACCCCAUCUCGUGUCUCCUUUUAUGUGCAACUUUUCUUGAUCCAGCCAGCCAGUGGAGCCUCGACUUCCCUUCCAGGUUCCUCCACCACAGACCCCUUUUUCUGUGCUGUACUUGUUCACAUGGGGCAGGGGACUUCGUGCCUGGCUCUGUCUCUCCAAGGAUGGGCAGGAGCUAAGGUCUCGUGGAAGCCAGGAACUGCCUAGCAAGGAACUGGCCCAGAGGCUGU